rnacentral:misc_RNA from 1 species
UACGCUCUUUCCUUUCCGUCUUUCUCCUCACACCCGUGAUUUAUUCAUUUAUUCUUUUUCUUGCCUACUUCCUUCUUAGACACUGGGUAUAUUUAAUUUUUUACUUAUGCUUCGCAAGCGUCCGAAUUGCAAUUUAUUAUUUAUUGCUUCGAUUCAAGUUGCACUUUUACCGCGUACAAUACGCGCGUCUCCGGUUAAUACACAGUCGAUUGACUCGAAUAGUCAGGAGACGCGAUCACCUGAUCGCAACGAUCGAUCGCGUUCCAGUCGUCUCUCUACGGUUCCAAACUCGAAUUGUCUAAUGUUCAACAAAUGGCCAGGGAAGGUGAAAAUAACUGAA